rnacentral:tmRNA from 1 species
GGGGGUGACCGGUUUUGACAGCAGGUAGAGUCUGAUUGUAAGCACGUCGAGCAUUGUGUGGUGGCUCGUAAAUAUCAACACUCAAAAAUUAACUGGCAAUAAUAGCUACGCACUCGCUGCCUAAUUCUCAAGGAGAAUCAGCUUAAUCGUCGACACCAAGGCGUGCCGAUGACGAGUAUCCUGAACGGGAGUUCCGCUCUUUAAUUUCCGUUCGUACAGGGUAUCAUCAAUUAAGAGAUAGCUGCGGAGGGGUUCCGGAUCCGUGGCGAAAUCGAAGGAACUGGGGCCUGCGUUAGGUUGUCGCCUACCGGAUGCAGGCAGAAGGAUCAAACGGCGACUAAGCGUGUAGAAAGCCUUCGGGUUCCUUGUUUGGACGCGGGUUCGACUCCCGCCACCUCCAC